rnacentral:ncRNA from 1 species
AUCUUCAGGGCGGGGUGUAAUUCCCCACCGGCGGUGACGGGCUUCUGCCCCCAGUCCGCGAGCGCUUCCGCGCAGAAUCGGUGUAAUUCCGGUACCGACAGUACAGUCUGGAUGAAAGAAGAU